rnacentral:rRNA from 1 species
UUGUUGGUAAGGUAAAAGCUUACCAAGGCUUCGAUCAGUAGCUGGUCUGAGAGGACGACCAGCCACACUGGGACUGAGACACGGCCCAGACUCCUACGGGAGGCAGCAGUGGGGAAUUUUGGACAAUGGGGGCAACCCUGAUCCAGCCAUGCCGCGUGAGUGAAGAAGGCCUUCGGGUUGUAAAGCUCUUUCAGCCGGAACGAAACGGUUACGGAUAACACCCGUGACUACUGACGGUACCGGAAGAAGAAGCACCGGCUAACUACGCGCCAGCAGCCGCGGUAAUACGUAGGGUGCGAGCGUUAAUCGGAAUUACUGGGCGUAAAGCGUGCGCAGGUGGUUUUGUAAGUCAGAUGUGAAAGCCCCGGGCUCAACCUGGGAACUGCGUUUGAAACUACAAGACUAGAGUGUGGCAGAGGGGGGUGGAAUUCCGCGUGUAGCAGUGAAAUGCGUAGAGAUGUGGAGGAACACCGAUGGCGAAGGCAGCCCCCUGGGUCAACACUGACGCUCAGGCACGAAAGCAUGGGGAGCAAACAGGAUUAGAUACCCUGGUAGUCCAUGCCCUAAACGAUGUCAACUAGUUGUCGGGCCUUUACGGGCUUGGUAACGUAGCUAACGCGUGAAGUUGACCGCCUGGGGAGUACGAUCGCAAGAUUAAAACUCAAAUGAAUUGACGGGGACCCGCACAAGCGGUGGAUUAUGUGGAUUAAUUCGAUGCAACGCGAAAAACCUUACCUACCCUUGACAUGUAUCGAAGCCCGCAGAAAAGCGGGGGUGCCCGAAAGGGAACGAUAACACAGGUGCUGCAUGGCUGUCGUCAGCUCGUGUCGUGAGAUGUUGGGUUAAGUCCCGCAACGAGCGCAACCCUUGUCAUUAAUUGCCAUCAUUUAGUUGGGCACUUUAAUGAGACUGCCGG